rnacentral:rRNA from 1 species
CCUACGGGUGGCAGCAGUGGGGAAUAUUGGACAAUGGGCGAAAGCCUGAUCCAGCCAUGCCGCGUGUGUGAAGAAGGCCUUCGGGUUGUAAAGCACUUUCAGUGGGGAAGAAAGCCUUGGGGCUAAUACCCUCGAGGAAAGACAUCACCCACAGAAGAAGCACCGGCUAACUCCGUGCCAGCAGCCGCGGUAAUACGGAGGGUGCGAGCGUUAAUCGGAAUUACUGGGCGUAAAGCGCGCGUAGGCGGUCUGAUAAGCCGGUUGUGAAAGCCCCGGGCUCAACCUGGGAACGGCAUCCGGAACUGUCAGGCUAGAGUGCAGGAGAGGAAGGUAGAAUUCCCGGUGUAGCGGUGAAAUGCGUAGAGAUCGGGAGGAAUACCAGUGGCGAAGGCGGCCUUCUGGACUGACACUGACGCUGAGGUGCGAAAGCGUGGGUAGCAAACAGGAUUAGAUACCCCUGUAGUC